rnacentral:rRNA from 1 species
CCCAGACUCCUACGGGAGGCAGCAGUGGGGGAUAUUGGACAAUGGGGGAAACCCUGAUCCAGCGACGCCGCGUGAGUGAAGAAGUAUUUCGGUAUGUAAAGCUCUGUCAGCAGGGAAGAAAGAAAUGACGGUACCUGACCAAGAAGCCCCGGCUAACUACGUGCCAGCAGCCGCGGUAAUACGUAGGGGGCAAGCGUUAUCCGGAAUUACUGGGUGUAAAGGGAGCGUAGACGGUGAUGCAAGUCUGGAGUGGAAGGCGGGGGCCCAACCCCCGGACUGCUCUGGAAACUGCCUGGCUGGAGUACAGGAGAGGUAAGUGGAAUUCCUAGUGUAGCGGUGAAAUGCGUAGAUAUUAGGAGGAACACCAGUGGCGAAGGCGGCUUACUGGACUGUAACUGACGUUGAGGCUCGAAAGCGUGGGGAGCAAACAGGAUUAGAUACCCUUGUA